rnacentral:rRNA from 1 species
AUACGGAGGGUCCAAGCGUUAUCCGGAUUCAUCGGGUUUAAAGGGUCCGCAGGCGGGAAAAUAAGUCAGUGGUGAAAGCCUACAGCUCAACUGUAGAACUGCCAUUGAUACUGUUUUUCUUGAGUAUAGAUGAAGUGGGCGGAAUAUAUCAUGUAGCGGUGAAAUGCAUAGAUAUGAUAUAGAACACCGAUUGCGAAGGCAGCUCACUAAACUAUUACUGACGCUCAGGGACGAAAGCGUGGGGAGCGAACAGGAUUAGAAACCCCAGUAGUCC